rnacentral:tRNA from 13 species
GUUCCGCUAACUCAGUGGCCAGAGUGCCUCCCUGUCCAGGAGGAAGCCAGGGGUUCGACUCCCCUGCGGAACGCCA